GUUUAUAAGCACUUUGGUGGAACAAUUCCCGCUCUCAUUUGAGUUGUUGUAUUGUUGAAGUGAGACCAUUUUCAUUUAUAAUAAGUAACAGAAUGUCAGAAGUUACUCAAUCUAGUAGUUCAGAAAUGCCCAGCAUUGAUGUACCUGGUAAAACGGAUACAGAGUUCAUGAUGUCCAUUGUGAUAAUUUCUACAGCUGACCUUGCCAAGAGUAUGAAGGAAGCACUGCUCGAAUACCACAAAGCUCACGAGGAGCGAUAUAAACUCUAUGUCCAUGUUUCAGAGAGAGUGAAACGGCUACUGAGUAACUUAGCCGUGCAUGUGGAUUACUACAUAAUCUUGGCAGAUCCGAGACGAGCUGAUGCUGCAGAUAAAAUCAAAGAAGACUUGUUGCAUCUCAGUCCUGUGUUUCUGGCCACCGGUCGGUGUGUGAUAGCUGUGUCGUGGCCAGAGGGAAUACCACCACACCUGGUUGCGACGUGCUCGGCAGAAGUGCAUAAUGUCUGCAGAGACAAGAUGCUGCACAAACUAGUUCAGCGAGAAGAGGGCCCUGCUGGGAAGAUUGGAACAACACCUCUGAAUGGAAUCUUACAUGGAAAACCCCGCUUCACACCCCCCUCAGAUUUAGUGAUAAGAUAGCCUGUGAAGAAGGUGUACUGAACUGUAAAAAAGAAAAGCAAAAUAAGAACAGUGAACGGUCCAAGAACAAGGAAAGCAAUGAAGAGCAGGUCAAAACAGCAACGGCAUCAUGGAAGCACCUUGCCGAAAGACUUCUACGCCUUGCCAGGACUGCUCGAGGGCUGACUGGUUCUGGAAUACCAAAUGUCACAGGCUGCUUCAACCCUGGCCACUACUGGCAUUCCUCAGCUGGAGCAACAGUAAUGCUACCGUCAUGGGGUGUUGGUGGUGAUGGUUAUGAUAGUGACCAAUGACAAAAUAAUUCCCCCCCCCCCUUGGGGGGGGAUCUUGGAGAAGUGUAAAUAGUUGGGAAAACUGAGGAUUUACUACAAAUAGGUAUAAUUUAUGCUCAAGUAAGCUGUAAUUUAUAAUUCAUUUGUGUAAACAAUAUAUACAGACAUAUUUCUUCUACAAAACAAUUACACUAUUAUACAGAGAGUGUGAAGAUACUAACAACAUUCUGUGCACUUGUUUCUCUAAACACUCCUUUUAGCAACUCAGCAGUUUUCCCUGUAAUGUCAGCUGUUUCUGCUUUAUUUUUUAUUUUUUUUUUAUUUUCUGUAGUUCUCAUUAUGGUAAAAAUAAUGAAGCUGCUGAGACACCAAAAUUACAUAUUUAUAGAAACAAUAAAUUAAUCUGAUUUGCUAACAAGUGUAUAAAUUUACCUUGAUUGACAACAGGCUGGAAUUUCAAUACAAUUCUUUCAAGAGUGGCUUAAAACUAAAGGCAGUCUUAAAGUUUGAGAAAUAUAUAUUCAUACAAAAUAUACGGAAAUUUCAUCACAAGUAUGUACGAAAAUGAUUAAAAAUACUGAUUUCUACAAACACAGUCUCUUGUAAAUUUUGAAUGUUUCCCUGUUUCUGCUUUGAAAUCCCACAAGAUCAGUGAAGUUGGUUGGUAAAGACGGGUCAGUCUGCGCUGGAGAGACCCGAGUGGCAGUGUGACAAUGCAAGGCAUUCAGCCAGGUCGCAGCAGUGGCCCGAACUAAACAAAAUGCAGUGAAACUUUCUCCUGGUCCCCAAAAUCAAUAUUGUAUAAAAUGUACAGUACCAAAGUGUAAAAGAUUCCAAAGCUUCGUGACAUUGUGAUAAAAUAUUACAACUUACCACAAGCCUGAAAUUUAACACUCUUCGCACACUCUACCUAAAAAGCAUCAUUUCUUUAUUGCACAAAAGUGCAGCAACAUUUUGUU